GGACGCUUAGCUCAGCUGGGAGAGCACCUGCCUUACAAGCAGGGGGUCACAGGUUCGAUCCCUGUAGCGUCCA
rfam:Leuconostoc mesenteroides subsp. mesenteroides ATCC 8293, complete genome.